CUCAUCCUCCACUCUCACCACAAUCUAGGUCGUGACCUUCUCCAUUGGCAAUGGCAUCAUGGAGUCCUUCUUCCCUCCUCCCCACCCUGGGUUCUUAACAUGCCUGCCUCAUCUGGUGGCGGGGUGCUGGAACAAGACCUCUGUGUUCCGGUCCAGACUGGGGAGUUUCUCUGGAAUCCACAGGUAAAUCGUGGGAAAGUCGAAAGUAGACACCCCUUCAAAUUUGUGGAUUCGGCUAUUUCAGCCACACCCAUUGCUGACAGGUGUAUAAAAUUGAGCACACAGCCAUGCAAUCUCCAUAGACAAACAUUGGCAGUAGAAUGGCCUGUACUGAAGAGCUCAGUGACUUUCAACAUGACACCGUCAUAGGAUGCCACCUUUCCAACAAGUCAUUUUGUCAAAUUUCUGCCCUGGUAGAGCUGCAACUGUAAGUGCUGUUAUUGUAAAGUGGAAAGGCUAGGAGCAACAACGACUCAGCCGGGAAGUGGUAGGCCACACAAGCUCACCGCCAAGUGCUGAAGCGUGUAGUGCGUAAACAUCGUGGCCGGCCCGCUCUACUGGACCACCGACAUGGCCAUCUUCUUUGGCAUCAACAAGGAAGUGCUGCCACUAAAGCAUUUCCUCUCUCCAGGUUAGCCUGGUUAGAGUGUGGACAGGCUAACCUGGUUAUGCAAGAGGGUAGACUGACUAUAGCCAAUGCUGAGCUGGCCAAGGCUCAGGCUCAGCUGGACAAUAAACAGACCGAGUUGGACAAAGUACAAGCCAAGUUUGAUGCUGCCAUGAAAGAGGAACAGACUCGUAGGGGCGGUCCUCCAGCUCACUGGCUUCCUGUCGUACUGCAGACCCUUCAACCAGAACUUCUGCAACGAGAGGAGCUGGAUCCUGCCCUGGACAAUGUGUUGGUGAAGAACAACGUUAAUCAUAACAAAUUCCAGAUCAUCAUCAAAGAGGGUGCUGCUUUAGACCUGAAGGCGUGCCCUUCCAAGCUGUUCGUUGGAUCCUGGAUCUGA
rnacentral:lncRNA from 1 species